rnacentral:rRNA from 1 species
AACCCGGUUGAUCCUGCCAGUAGUCAUAUGCUUGUGUUAAAGAUUAAGCCAUGCAUGCCUAAGUACAAACUAUUCUUAUGGUAAAACUGCGGACGGCUCCAUAGAUCAGUAAUAGUUCGUUCAGUGAUUUGAAAAAGUACUUGGAUAACCCUGUUAAUUGUAGAGCUAAUACAUGCACCGACGGCCUGAUCGGGUGACCGAGAGGGUCGCACUUGUCUUAAUUCACAGUGCCCCGGAACUGAGGCUGUUCGACGUGGUAGGGGAGGACGCUGAAUGGGGCUGGUAGAAACAACUGGGGGUAUAAAACCAAGGAGGAAGCAAAAAAGCCAUAACCCGGCGAUGGCCUUGGUGGAAACCUCUGGGCUCAAGGUUGUUAUUAUGUUYAUURUGGCCUCUCGGGGUUAUUUURAAUGURGUAAUAAACCGAAAGCAACUCUAUCAGUUUGGUUYGGAUGUCCGUUAAUCCUGCGUGGCCAGCGGCUUUGGGACUCCAGGGGACAGGGCGAAACGAGGCAAUUCAAAGCUGAUCGCUUUCUAACGAGGGCGACACACUGUUCGAAUUCCUGACCUAUCAACUCGAUGGUAGGAUAGUGGCCUACCAUGGUUAUAACGGGUAACGGGGAAUCAGGGCUCGAUUCCGGAGAGGGAGCCUGAGAAACGGCUACCACUUCCAAGGAAGGCAGCAGGCGCGUAAAUUACUCCCUGCCGACACGGCGAGGUAGUGACGACAAAUACCAAGGAAAACCGCCUUUGGUGGUUUUCCAUUGGAAUGAGCAGAAUUCAAACCCCUCUGCAAGUAACAAUUGGAGGGCAAGUCUGGUGCCAGCAGCCGCGGUAAUUCCAGCUCCAAGAGUGUAUACUAAAGCUGUUGCGGUUAAAACGCUCGUAGUUGAAUUCCAACACCCGGUUUCAAGUUGAAUGGAAAGAAGGGUAUAUUAGUAUUUAGRRGGAGCAAUCCUUUUAAGUAUUGRUGUAUCAGUUCACCGUUUAACUCCGGGGAAGGCUAUCCACUCUAAUGCCUUAUUCCCGCCAGGGCUCUUAAUUGAGUCUUGGAUAUACCACCCGGACCGAUAAGGAAUGGGGGGAAUAAGGACUAAAGGUUUACCUUGAACAAAUUAGAGUGAUUCAGGCAGGCUUUUUUAAGCCCUUGAAUACAUUAGCAUGGGACAAACACAUCCCAAAAACAACCUGGGUCGGGUGGCACCGGGGUUGGAGGUUUGAUAUGAGAGGAGAUUAUGAGUAGGUGGUUAUGAUCAUUUGUGCAAUCAAAACUUAUAGUAGCCUCAAUGGUUCCGUUUGGUUUUCCUGAGGGGGCUCGGACUUGGUCAUCUGUAGGUAUUUCAGGGGUGAUGGGCUCCGGUCUGUUAUUCCUGAGGUAUUCGGAUGAUUGAGGGGUCUAACCAGCAAUGGUUAUAUUAUGAGUUUGUAUGAAUGAUUAUGAUURCUCUURUAGUCGAYAAAGACUUCACGUGUCGGGCUUUCAGUCUUAGGACCAUCCAUUAAGACUCAGUCGUUUUGGUUGUAGAAAUGCAAUCGAAACGUUAAACCAAAUAAUAGGGACAGCCGGGGUGGUUAAUACUUCCGUGCUAGGGGUGAAAUCCUAUGAUUACGGAAAGAUUAACUAGUGCGAAAGCAUUCCACAAGGAUGUUUUCAUUAAUCAAGAACGAAAGUUGGGGGAUCGAAGACGAUCAGAUACCGUCGUAGUCUCAACCAUAAACUAUGCCGACCAGAGAUCGGAAGACGCUGUCCUAGAAGGACGCGUGGCUCCUCCGGCACCUUUGAGAGAAAUCAUUGAGUGUCWGGGCUUCGGGGGGAGUAUGGUCGCAAGGCUGAAACUUAAAGGAAUUGACGGAAGGGCACCWCCAGGAGUGGAGCCUGCGCUUAAUUUGACUCAACACGGGGAACCUUACCAGGUCCAGACAGUAGAAGGAUUGACAGAUUGAGAGCUCUUUCUAGAUUUGCUGGGUGGUGGUGCAUGGCCGUUCUUAGUUCGUGGUUUGARUUGUCUGUGUCAAUUCCGCUAACGAACGAGACCUUAACCUGCUAAAUAAUGUUGGGCAGAGGCUUUGGUUUGAUUAAGUUUCUUUUAUCGGGGCAACUCGGUAGAGGGGAUGGAGUCUUAUCAAACUCUAGUUCAARCCAUUCUCCUCGACGUUUGAUUGGGGUAUUUGUUAUCGGGGCAACUCGGUUAUAAGUAUUUCAGUCUUAUGCAAAGAAUGGACCAACUUCUUAGAGGGACUAUUUGCUCCCAGCAAAUGGAAGUUUGAGGCAAUAACAGGUCUGUGAUGCCCUUCGAUGCCCUGGGCCGCACGCGCGCUACACUGAUUGGGUGAAUUAGCAUGUGUACACCCCACUUUUUCCUUGUUCUUCUCGAAAGGGAGGGGCAGGGAGGAGGCGGGGAUAAAUGUACCUACCCUGAGUCGAAAGACUUMAGGUAACCUGCUGAAACCUAAUCGUGAUGGGGAUAGGCCUUUGCAAUUAUUGGCCUUAAACGAGGAAUUCCUAGUAGGCGCUAGUCAUCAGCUUGCGCCGAUUACGUCCCUGCCCUUUGUACACACCGCCCGUCGCUCCUACCGAUUGGAUGAUCCGGUGAAGAUAACGGAUGUGUAAAGUAUAGGACCCUUGGGGGCUUGCUCUCUUGGGUUUUAUAUUUUCCAGAAGUUAUCUAAACCUUAUUAUCUAGAGGAAGGAGAAGUCGUAACAAGGUUUCYGUAGGUGAACCUGCAGAAGGAUCAAGCUU